rnacentral:rRNA from 1 species
GACGAACGCUGUCGGCGUGCUUAACACAUGCAAGUCGAACGAUGAACCCGGAGCUUGCUCCGGUGGAUUAGUGGCGAACGGGUGAGUAACACGUGAGUAACCUGCCCUUGACUCUGGGAUAACUGCGGGAAACUGUAGCUAAUACCGGAUACGACCCUCGGCGGCAUCGCCAGGGGGUGGAAAGAAUUUCGGUCAAGGAUGGACUCGCGGCCUAUCAGCUAGUUGGUGAGGUAAAGGGUCACCAAGGCGACGACGGGUAGCCGGACUGGGAGGGUGACCAGCCAGUCUGGGACUAGGACACGACCCAGACUCCUACGGGAGGCAGCAGGUGGUAAUAUUGCACAAUGGGCGCAAGCCUGAUGCAGCAACGCCGCGUGAGAGAUGACGGCCUUCGGGUUGUAAACCUCUUUUAGUAGGGAAGAAGCGAAAGGGACGGUACCUGCAGAAAAAGCACCGGCUAACUACGUGCCAGCCGCCGCCGUAA